AGUGAACGCUGGCGGUAGGCCUAACACAUGCAAGUCGAACGGCAGCACAGGAGAGCUUGCUCUCUGGGUGGCGAGUGGCGGACGGGUGAGGAAUACAUCGGAAUCUACUCUGUCGUGGGGGAUAACGUAGGGAAACUUACGCUAAUACCGCAUACGACCUACGGGUGGAAGCAGGGGAUCUUCGGACCUUGCGCGAUUGAAUGAGCCGAUGUCGGAUUAGCUAGUUGGCGGGGUAAAGGCCCACCAAGGCGACGAUCCGUAGCUGGUCUGAGAGGAUGAUUAGCCACACUGGAACUGAGACACGGUCCAGACUCCUACGGGAGGCAGCAGUGGGGAAUAUUGGACAAUGGGCGCAAGCCUGAUCCAGCCAUACCGCGUGGGUGAAGAAGGCCUUCGGGUUGUAAAGCCCUUUUGUUGGGAAAGAAAUCCAGCUGGCUAAUACCCGGUUAGGAUGACGGUACCCAAAGAAUAAGCACCGGCUAACUUCGUGCCAGCCGCCGCGGUAA
rnacentral:rRNA from 1 species